rnacentral:rRNA from 1 species
CGGCAAGGGCGGCAGGCUUACCAUGCAAGUCGAGCGGGCCCUUCGGGGUCAGCGGCAGACGGGUGAGUAACGCGUGGGAACGUACCAUUUGCUACGGAAUAACUCAGGGAAACUUGUGCUAAUACCGUAUGAGCCCCCCUUUAAAAUUUCAGGAAUCAUAAAAUGCCCUGGCAUUUUAUGGGGGGGAAAGAUUUAUCGGCAAAUGAUCGGCCCGCGUUGGAUUAGCUAGUUGGUGGGGUAAAGGCCUACCAAGGCGACGAUCCAUAGCUGGUCUGAGAGGAUGAUCAGCCACACUGGGACUGAGACACGGCCCAGACUCCUACGGGAGGCAGCAGUGGGGAAUAUUGGACAAUGGGCGCAAGCCUGAUCCAGCCAUGCCGCGUGAGUGAUGAAGGCCCUAGGGUUGUAAAGCUCUUUCACCGGUGAAGAUAAUGACGGUAACCGGAGAAGAAGCCCCGGCUAACUUCGUGCCAGCAGCCGCGGUAAUACGAAGGGGGCUAGCGUUGUUCGGAUUUACUGGGCGUAAAGCGCACGUAGGCGGGCUAAUAAGUCAGGGGUGAAAUCCCGGGGCUCAACCCCGGAACUGCCUUUGAUACUGUUAGUCUUGAGUAUGGUAGAGGUGAGUGGAAUUCCAAGUGUAAAGGUGAAAUUCGUAUAUAGUCGGACGAUCACCAGUGGUAAAGGAGGAUCACUGAUCCAGUACUGUC